rnacentral:rRNA from 1 species
AGCUCCAAUAGCGUAUAUUAAAGUUGUUGCGGUUAAAAAGCUCGUAGUUGGUUUUCUGUCGAGAGCUGCCGGUCCGUACUUUGUACGAGUAUCUGGUUCAGCCUCGGCAUCCUCUUGGGGGGCGUGUCUGUAAUUUAUUUUAUGGAGCGUUACCCAAGACUUUUACUUUGAGGAAAUUAGAGUGUUUACGGCAAGCUUGCGCUUGAAUAUAUUAGCAUGGGAUAAUUAUACAGGAUCUUACUCCUAUUUUAUUGGUUCCUAGGAGGAAGAUAAUGAUAAAUAGGGAUAACUGGGGGCACUCGAAUUAACGCGUCAGAGGUGGAAUUCUUGGAUUGCGUUACGACGACCUACUGCGAAAGCAUUUGCCAAGGAUGUUUUCAUUGAUCAAGAACG